rnacentral:lncRNA from 1 species
AUCAUCACUUGCAAAGUGUCUGGGGUCUUUGGCUGGAGUCUGCUACUCAUGUCUGAAUAUGGCUAAAGGAGUGACUUGGCUUUUCUAGGCUCCAGUUCUUUAAAUACUAAAUAAGAGCAACAUAGUGGACAACUAGAUAUCCAACCACGUAACUUGGUGACUUGGAAGUUCUUGUGUCUAUGCUUCAUGGAUGGGAAUAGGGACAAGGGAUCUUCAUGAAAGAGGGGACUCCUGCACGUCUCAGUGUUCAAAGCUAGCAUCAUGGCAGAGGAACAUCGGCUUCUUCAUGGUGCUUCCAGCAGGUCCUACAAACCAGUGUCUUUCCUAG